rnacentral:rRNA from 1 species
UACGGAGGGGGCUAGCGUUAUUCGGAAUUACUGGGCGUAAAGCGCGCGUAGGCGGCUUUGCAAGUCAGAGGUGAAAGCCCGGGGCUCAACCCCGGAAUUGCCUUUGAAACUGCAUCGCUAGAACGUCGGAGAGGUGAGUGGAAUUCCGAGUGUAGAGGUGAAAUUCGUAGAUAUUCGGAAGAACACCAGUGGCGAAGGCGGCUCACUGGCCCGGUACUGACGCUGAGGCGCGAAAGCGUGGGGAGCAAACAGG